rnacentral:tRNA from 1 species
GGGGGUGGAGCUCAGUGGCAGAGCACUUGGUUAGCAUGCACAAGGCCCUGGGUUCAGUCCCCAGCGCUGCCA